GAUGAAGAACGUAGCGAAAUGCGAUAAGUAAUGUGAAUUGCAGAAUUCAGUGAAUCAUCGAAUCUUUGAACGCACAUUGCGCCCGCCAGUAUUCUGGCGGGCAUGCCUGUCCGAGCGUCAUUUCAACCCUCGAACCCCUCCGGGGGGUCGGCGUUGGGGAUCGGCCCUGCCUCUUGGCGGUGGCCGUCUCCGAAAUACAGUGGCGGUCUCGCCGCAGCCUCUCCUGCGCAGUAGUUUGCACACUCGCAUCGGGAGCGCGGCGCGUCCACAGCCGUUAAACACCCAACUUCUGAAAUGUUGACCUCGGAUCAGGUAGGAAUACCCGCUGAACUUAAGCAUAUCAAUAAGCGGAUGA
rnacentral:misc_RNA from 1 species